rnacentral:lncRNA from 1 species
UCAUUUUAUUUGCAAAUGUGGAAGGCAUUAUAAAAACCGUGAAUGAUGCCCCCUCCCAUGAGGGAUACAGGGAGAGCCACGUGAAGAGGAUGUUGGGCUUCUUCAAGCUGGCAGGGCACUGAGCUGACUGUCCACCACACUCACCAGGGGCCUUUGUGCAUCCCGUGGGGCAGCUCUGGGAAAGCAGUUUACAGUACAACUAUCUCCUCCAAGUUGGCCAGCAUUGCCUCUGAUACGUGAACAAGAAGUAUUUGGAGGGUUAAUAAAUACAAAUCAACACAUAUACACAUGAAGAGAAAAUGGAUGUAAUAACCAAGGACUGCCUGAGAUGCGGGAACUGAAGCUCAGAAAGGCAAAACAACUUUUCAUGCUCUUCUACCUAAUAAGUCGGAGAACCAAGAUUCAAAUUCUAAAUGCGGGUCUGAUUGAGGCCAAGCAGGACUGGGGCCAAAUACACAAGUUUACACAACAAACACCAGAAGAACCGGAGAAGAAGAUACACAGAGGUGAAGAAAUGGAAGCUCAGAGAAGUUGUGGUGCCUGUUCAAGAUCACUCAGCUG